rnacentral:lncRNA from 1 species
CAGGGACAACUUUAUAAUAACCAUACAAGUAAAGAGUUUCACAAACAAUUCACAUAAUUGCCAAUUAAUACAAGUUUAUCUAUAAUGGAUAUUCAUCAAACUCAUAAUAUAUAUCAUGGAUACAAUCGUAAUAUCAUCAUCUCUAUGAUUAGCUCUAGAGCAUAUUGCCAACAAUAAUGCCAUUGCCUUAAAUAUAUGGUAAAAGUGGGUUUUGAGU